rnacentral:misc_RNA from 1 species
CUCCGGGAGAGAGCGCUGGUGCUGGGGAUCGGCCGCCCUUCUCGCGGCGGCGGCCCUGAAAUAUAGUGGCGGUCUCGACGCGAUCUCCUCUGUGCAGUAGUGAUACCUCGCAGCUGGAAUAGCGACCUGGCCACGCCGUAAAACGCAUAAACUUUUACGUGGUUGACCUCGGAUCAGGCAGGAAUACCCGCUGAACUUAA